CUCCACCUCCCCCUCUUAGCCCGCCAGAGUGCCACGGCGCAGCCUCGGCCGCUCCCUCGCCAAGGAAAGCAGGCCUUGCUCGCGGUCACCGCAAGGUGACGUGCAAGAACCGCCGGAGCAUGCCGCCAUAGCUGCUGGCGCCCGGAAACAGCUGCGAGCACGGAACCGUCGGGCGGAGCUGCUGCGGGAGAGGGAAACGUCGCUGAGCCGUCCCUGGGCAGCCCCACCUCGUCACCACCCUGCCCAGCCGUCGCCGACUAUCACCGCUCGCCGCCGGGGAUACUUAGUUGGGCCAUGGUGAUGCCGAGAAAGGCAUUUGCUAAGUAUGAUACUCUCAUACCUUUACUAGAUGCGAACAAUUCGGAGAAGAAGGAGAAGUGGUUCGGGCGAGGAUUUUAUUUUUAUUGUUGGGAUUCUUAUAUUGAUGGAGUUGAAGAAGUCCAGGGACAAAUAAG